UACGUAGGGGGCAAGCGUUGUCCGGAAUCAUUGGGCGUAAAGAGCGUGUAGGCGGCCCGGUAAGUCCGCUGUGAAAGUCCAGGGCUCAACCCUGGGAUGCCGGUGGAUACUGUCGGGCUCGAGUCCGAAAGAGGAGUGUGGAAUUCCUGGUGUAGCGGUGAAAUGCGCAGAUAUCAGGAGGAACACCGGUGGCGAAGGCGGGUCUCUGGGCAGUAACUGACGCUGAGGAGCGAAAGCGUGGGGAGCGAACAGG
rnacentral:rRNA from 1 species